rnacentral:rRNA from 1 species
AAAGAUGAAGUAUAGGGCCUGACACCUGCCCGGUGCUGGAAGGUUAAGAGGAGAUGUCAUUCCUUCGGGGAGAAGCAUUGAAUUGAAGCCCCAGUAAACGGCGGCCGUAACAAUAACGGUCCUAAGGUAGCGAAAUUCCUUGUCGGGUAAGUUCCGACCUGCACGAAUGGUGCAACGAUCUGGACACUGUCUCGGCCAUGAGCUCGGUGAAAUUGUAGUAUCGGUGAAGAUGCCGGUUACCCGCUGUGGGACGAAAAGACCCCGUGAACCUUUACUAUAGCUUCGUAUUGGCUUUGGAUAAAUAAUGUGUAGGAUAGGUGGGAGACAUCGAAGCGGCGUCGCCAGGCGUUGUGGAGUCAUUGUUGAAAUACCACCCUUUAUUUAUUUGAAGUCUAACGUCUAACGACGAACAGUGCGUGGUGGGUAGUUUGACUGGGGUGGUCGCCUCCAAAAGAGUA